GACUUUUAAAAAAGAUCUUAGUCUGCAGCCCAAUCCCGUCUGAUCUCGGAAGCUAAACGGGGUCGGGCCUGGUUAGUACUUGGAUGGGAGACCACCUAGGAAGACCAGGUGCUGUAGGUGU
rnacentral:rRNA from 1 species